CUCAGUCAUGGCAAAGCACUUCUGGAAUCCAAAUGAAGAUGGAGAUGUCAUGGAAACUUGGAUCUGGAUGAUCCAACAUUCCUCCAGCUUUGCAGUGGAAGGCCAUGGAGAUACUGCAUGACAGAGAAGGAGGUGCACCCAUGUUCCCCCUCACAAGGACAUGAGGGAAUUGGGACCAACUGCUGCUGCCACCACUGCCACCUGCUGAGAUCUCCAGCUCAAAGUGACCUGGACCUACUCCAUCUUCUGGGGCAGAGAGCUCUUGCAUGUCUGAAUCCUCCUGGACAGCUGGUUGGUUUAACUCCUUCCACUGCCUUCACCUCCCGCAGUAAGGCAGCACCGGGAGCAGCAGAACGAACCCCAGCAGGGCUGGAAAACAGAAAAGGGUUUGAGUUAUG
ensembl:lncRNA